UGUAGGUUAGUAUAAUAAAUACCUUUAAUUUAGGCUUAAAAAAAAGAUCACAAUCUACCUACAA
rnacentral:tRNA from 1 species